UACGUAGGGUGCGAGCGUUAAUCGGAAUUACUGGGCGUAAAGCGUGCGCAGGCGGUUUUGUAAGCCAGAUGUGAAAUCCCCGGGCUUAACCUGGGAAUGGCAUUUGGGACUGCAAGGCUCGAGUGCGGCAGAGGAGACUGGAAUUCCUGGUGUAGCAGUGAAAUGCGUAGAUAUCAAGUGGAACACCAGUGGCGAAGGCGAGUCCCUGGAAAACUCCUGACACUGAGGCACGAAAGCUAGGGAGCGAACGGG
rnacentral:rRNA from 1 species